AACCCCCUGAAAAUCCCUCUCGAACUUGCCGGAACGGAGGAUAAUCAGGGGGUCACAAAGCAGGCGGCGUGCCUUUGAAGGAUUAUAGCAAAUGCAUUUCUCAAUACAAGACCUCUGCCCGGCAAU
rfam:Pantoea stewartii subsp. stewartii DC283 WGS_Sequence41, whole genome shotgun sequence.